CCAAAUCUGACAUCUUCACUUUACAGCUAAGAAAGCUACUGUUUAUACAGGGUCUCAUAGUUACCAGAGACCUAAGAAUAGAACCAAAGUCUUUGGUUUUGGCCUUUUGCUAUCUUCCACUGAUGGUCUUCUGAGUCAAAGAGGGAAAAGAGAAGGACUGAGCUCCUUCCUGAUCCUACAUUCAAGAAUUGUCUACCUACAUGAUUUUUUAAAAGCAGUUUGAUUGACAUGAGAGGAAAGUGGAACAUCUAUCUUACAAUUAAAAUACAAUGUAGCAGAGCUAUGCAACACUUGAAUAUUGGAAUCAAACAAGCUGAAGUUAGAACCCCUGAUCCAACUUGAUGCCUGAAAAUUGGCUGGAUAACCACAGGGAGCUUCUUUCUUCUUGAGAUCUGGCUGUAACCUCAGUGAUGAUGUCACAGAAUUUCAGUACAGUGUAACGGAAGGAAAGGAUUGGGAAGCUAUGGGAAGCAUCACAGAACAGAGGCAGAAAACUUACAAAAUCAAGAGCCAGAGGGUAUGGAGGAAUGCUGUGGAAUGCUGCCUUCUGCACAUGGUGUGCCUAUUGCACCCAUGAACUCAUUACGGCUUUGAUUUCCUGAAUAAGAUGGAGCUGAGAAGAUCAGUUAGCAUUCCAGCAGUCAGUGGACUCAGUGAGUUGGAACAAACAAAAGGGUAAAGGGGGCAUGUCAGGAGUGCCUAGGAGGGUAAAGGGGGCACAUUAG